rnacentral:rRNA from 1 species
AUUGAACGCUGGCGGCAGGCCUAACACAUGCAAGUCGAGCGAGGGGAGGACGGGUGAGUACUGUAUGGGGACUGCCGGAUAGCGGGGGAUAAGUAAUGGAUACGGUGGCUAAUACCGUGCUCUAUGGGAUUACCGAUCUGGGAUUAGCUAGUAGGUAAGGUAAUGGCUUACCUAGGCGACGAUCCCUAGCCGGUCUGCGAGGAUGAUCAGCCACACGGGGACUGAGACACGGCCCAGACGCCUACGGAGGCAGCAGUGGGGAAUAUUCGACAAUGGGCGAAAGCCUGAUGCAGCCAUGCCGCGUGUAUGAAGAAGGCUCUAGGGUUGUAAAGUACUUUCAGUCGGGAGGCGUUACCGAAAGAAGAAGCACCGGCUAACUCCGUGCCAGCAGCCGCGGUAAUAC